rnacentral:lncRNA from 1 species
UAUAGUACAAAAUGGCAUCUCAUUCUGAUCUUUUCCAGAAAAAUUUCAGGAAAAUUUCAUUUCGAAGCUGUACUUGAUUUAAAAAUCCGGCCUUUGUUAGACGAUACUAUUCAUCAGGCUGCCAUGAGCAUUCAAGCUUUGUGGAUUAUUCAUUUAAGAGUUAUGGUGCCUCCGGUAGGGAGUCAGAGCAGAGUAGAAUAUCUCCUUCUGAUGGAAUGAUUCAGGUAAUUUGCUGUGCUGUUCUUUGGCAUAUAUUGAAUUCCUUGCUGUCUGUAAGAAUGUUGCUAGCAAUUGCUGAUUUUGGUAGUUUUAAUAAUGAGACAAAUUACUCUUCUUGUUUGAAGCAGGCACAAUUGCUUCUGUACAGAUUGGGACAUUACCGAACGAUAUACUUUUUGAGCAUAAAUCCCAUUGGUCAUUAACUCGAAGGGGCAUUUGCAGUAAGUACUUUCUGAGAUGCAGCCCAUGUUCCAGAGCUUCUUCAAGCAACAUGCAUUUGGAUUUUUAGAUAAAUAACCGUGGUUAGUAGCUGAAAGUUGCUUCCUCUGGACAUUAUUGUAGUGACAGGACUAGCUGACGAAGGAUAUCUAAUGAGAUAUAUGGAUCAUCUGGUUGGUUUUCUUUGGACUCAUGCACGAAUUUUGUUUCAUGCCAACAUGUGAGAAAGAUUUAUUUAUUUUCGACAAUAGUACAAUUUAAUGGCAUUUCACGUCAAUGUAUGGAAGCAGACGCAUCGUUUUACCUGAAUUGUGGCCGUCCCCAUAUUCACUUCUAUUGAAAUCAAAGUGAUCUCAUAUCUGGCAAUUUGUGUCUGCUUGUUGAACUUUUAGAGGAUUCAAUAACUUGACAUCUAGCAUUUUGAUAAAAUUAGGAAAAAGACUGUUAGGGCG